UACGUAGGGGGCGUAGCGUUGUCCGGAAUCAUUGGGCGUAAAGAGCGUGUAGGCGGCCCGGUAAGUCCGCUGUGAAAGUCGGGGGCUCAACCCUCGAAAGCCGGUGGAUACUGUCGGGCUAGAGUGCGGAAGAGGCGAGUGGAAUUCCUGGUCGUAGCGGUGAAAUGCGCAGAUAUCAGGAGGAACACCUGCGGUGUAGACGGCUUUCUGGACCAUUGCUGACGCUGAGACACGAAAGCGUGGGUAGCAAACAGG
rnacentral:rRNA from 1 species